rnacentral:lncRNA from 1 species
CAAAACUCAGAGCAGUAGCUAACUUUGAAUGAGAACUCUUUCUGGUUUCUAUCAGCCCAAGCGAGUUUGCCAUCAGCUAGACUUGCUGUUGAAGAACAGCAGCUAAUUCCUUUGUCACUAAAAUCACCACUGGCAGGCUCGCCCUCAGAACAUUCUUUGGGCAGAACUUGUCAUGGCAGCAUUUUGUUGCAAGCACCCUUACUUCUGUGGCUAUAAAAUCUCCUUAACAUCGAGAAAAGUGGAUGUGGUUUUUCCUCCUUUUUCUUUUUUUUUAUUUUUUCCCCUCAAGACCUCCUUUUGAGGACGUAUUUCUGCAGCCUCUCAGUGGGAGACGUCUGUCCUUGCUGUGACUCAGCUGCAGAGGUGCUGCCUUAGCUCAGUGCUCAGCCUGAUCUCAUAUGGUCAUCAAACACAGUUGCACUUCUGUACAACUUGUGUCAGACACCACGGGUGAUGUCCACACUUGGAGCGAUGUGCCUGCAGUGUCAUAGGAAGAUGUUUAGUACUUUUGGUUGAAGGUCAUGAAAACAGACUUCCAGAGAGGGGUCUUGGUUUGUGAGAACUGGUGAUGGUGUAAUGCAGGACCAGGCCACCAGUACCAGCCUUGUGUGUCUUUUACUGCACUGUAGACCGAAGGAGGAUGUGAGCUGUCUCCCUGUUGAGCAGGAGCUUUACUGGAGCGCUAAGGAAAAGUGGUGUUGAUGUAAAGAUCCCGUUGAAAUGAACAAAUCUUCAGCAGACUAAUUUUUCUCUCCUUAAACUGGGGAAGCAACUAGUUAGCUCAAACUGAAGAGAAGGAGGAAUCGGGCUUCCUCGUUCCGUGAGCUUUCUGGUUCUGGGCACAGUCCGUCAUCAGUGGCCCAGUUCAGGAGUUUGGGGAACUGCUGCGGGGAAAGGGAGCCAAAGCUGUAUCUGCUGCAUGCCCUGCCAGCUCCUGUUGGAAGAUGCUCCUUCAGUUUAAGAAGAAGAUGGUGUGGCUUCUGCACAGGACAAGGCACUGGGAAAUGGGAGAUGCCCACUGCUUAGCUGGGACUUGUCUGCUGACCAAGCCAGAGCUCCUUGCGCUGAUACAGAGUGCAGUGGUUGUCCUCUAUAAGCUUGCCAAGCUGCUUCGCACGGUGUUCUUCGGCGCUGCCUGUCUGCCCUCUCUCCUGUGCUUCCCCCUUUGUCGGAAGACAGACACGUGGCUGCAGUAACCCAGGUCUUGCUAAACAUCAGCUGAGGCUGCUCCCUCUGAGUUUUAUCAGUAGCAGCGAGGUACUGGCGUAGGCUUCUCAGCUCAUCAUGAUGCAGGGAGGUUUUUUAAAGCAGGUCAAGAUUGUUUUGCUGAUCACUGGGGUAGGGGUGAGAAGGUGCAUUACUUCCUUCCUCUC